CAAACUGAAGAUGGCGACCGGCGCACGGGUGAGUAACACGUAUCCAACCUGCCGAUAACUCCGGAAUAGCCUUUCGAAAGAAAGAUUAAUACCGGAUAGUAUACGAAUAUCGCAUGAUAUUUUUUUUAAAGAAUUUCGGUUAUCGAUGGGGAUGCGUUCCAUUAGUUUGUUGGCGGGGUAACGGCCCACCAAGACUACGAUGGAUAGGGGUUCUGAGAGGAAGGUCCCCCACAUUGGAACUGAGACACGGUCCAA
rnacentral:rRNA from 1 species